AACACUGUUAACCUGCGGUACCUGCGGAAGGAUCAUUACCGAGUUUACAACUCCCAAACCCCUGUGAACAUACCAAUUGUUGCCUCGGCGGAUCAGCCCGCUCCCGGUAAAACGGGACGGCCCGCCAGAGGACCCCUAAACUCUGUUUCUAUAUGUAACUUCUGAGUAAAACCAUAAAUAAAUCAAAACUUUCAGCAAUGGAUCU
rnacentral:misc_RNA from 1 species